UUAAGUUAAUAAGGGCGCACGGUGGAUGCCUUGGCACUAGAAGCCGAAGAAGGACGUGACCAACGACGAAAUGCUUUGGGGAGCUGUAAGUAAGCGCUGAUCCAGAGAUGUCCGAUUGGGGGAUCCCACUAACUAAUGGUUAGUAUCCAUAACUGUUAAGGGUAAUGAGAAGGAAGACGCAGUGAACUGAAACAUCUAAGUAGCUGCAGGAAGAGAAAGCAAACGCGAUUGCCUUAGUAGCGGCGAGCGAAACGGCAGGUGGGCAAACCGAAGUGUUUACACUUCGGGGUUGUAGGACUGCGACGUGGGACUUUAAAAGGAUAGAAGAAUUACCUGGGAAGGUAAGCCAAAGAGAGUAAAAGCCUCGUAUUUAAAAUUCUUUUGAGCCCUAGCAGUAUCCUGAGUACGGCGAGACACGUGAAAUCUCGUUGGAAUCUGGGAGGACCAUCUCCCAACCCUAAAUACUCUCUAGUGACCGAUAGUGAACCAGUACCGUGAGGGAAAGGUGAAAAGCACCCCGGGAGGGGAGUGAAAUAGAACCUGAAACCGUGUGCCUACAACAAGUUCGAGCCCGUUAAUGGGUGAGAGCGUGCCUUGUGUAGAAUGAACCGGCGAGUUACGAUAUGAUGCGAGAUUAAGUUGAAGAGACGGAGCCGUAGGGAAACCGAGUCUUAAUAGGGCGAUUUAGUAUCAUGUUGUAGACCCGAAACCAUGUGUCCUACCCAUGAGCAGGUUGAAGGUGAGGUAAAACUCACUGGAGGACCGAACCAGGGCACGUUGAAAAGUGCUUGGAUGACUUGUGGGUAGCGGAGAAAUUCCAAACGAACUUGGAGAUAGCUGGUUCUCUCCGAAAUAGCUUUAGGGCUAGCGUCGAUGUUAAGUCUCUUGGAGGUAGAGCACUGUUUGGGUGAGGGGUCCAUCUCGGAUUACCAAUCUCAGAUAAACUCCGAAUGCCAACGAGAUAUCAUCGGCAGUCAGACUGCGAGUGCUAAGAUCCGUAGUCGAAAGGGAAACAGCCCAGACCACCAGCUAAGGUCCCAAAAUAACUGUUAAGUGGAAAAGGAUGUGGGGUUGCACAGACAACUUGGAUGUUAGCUUAGAAGCAGCUAUUCAUUCAAAGAGUGCGUAAUAGCUCACUAGUCGAGUGACCCUGCGCCGAAAAUGUUCCGGGGCUAAAACAUUUUACCGAAGCUGUGGAUGACACAAAAGUGUCAUGGUAGGAGAGCGUUCUAUGUGUGAAGAAGGUGUACCGUGAGGAGCGCUGGAACGCAUAGAAGUGAGAAUGCCGGUAUGAGUAGCGAAAGACAGGUGAGAAUCCUGUCCACCGUAAGACUAAGGUUUCCAGGGGAAGGCUCGUCCGCCCUGGGUUAGUCGGGACCUAAGGAGAGACCGAAAGGUGUAUCCGAUGGCCAACAGGUUGAUAUUCCUGUACUAGAGUAUAUAGUGAUGGAGGGACGCAGUAGGCUAACUAAACCGGACGAUUGGAAGAGUCCGGCUAAGCAGUGAGGUGUAAGAUGAGUCAAAUGCUUAUCUUUAUAACAUUGAGCUGUGAUGGUGAGCGAAUUUUAGUAGCGACGUUAGUGAUGUCACACUGCCAAGAAAAGCUUCUAGCGUUUAAUGAUACUCUACCCGUACCGCAAACCGACACAGGUAGUCGAGGCGAGUAGCCUCAGGUGAUCGAGAGAACUCUCGUUAAGGAACUCGGCAAAAUGACCCCGUAACUUCGGGAGAAGGGGUGCUGACUUAGGUCAGCCGCAGUGAAUAGGCCCAAGCAACUGUUUAUCAAACACACAGCUCCCUGCUAAAUCGUAAGAUGAUGUAUAGGGGGUGACGCCUGCCCGGUGCUGGAAGGUUAAGAGGAGGGUUUAGCGCAAGCGAAGAUCUGAAUUGAAGCCCCAGUAAACGGCGGCCGUAACUAUAACGGUCCUAAGGUAGCGAAAUUCCUUGUCGGGUAAGUUCCGACCCGCACGAAAGGCGUAAUGAUUUGGGCACUGUCUCAACGAGAGAAUCGGUGAAAUUUUAGUACCUGUGAAGAUGCAGGUUACCCGCGACAGGACGGAAAGACCCCAUGGAGCUUUACUGUAGUUUGAUAUUGAGUAUCUGUACCACUGUACAGGAUAGGUAGGAGCCAUUGACUUCGGGACGCCAGUUUCGAAUGAGGCGUUGUUGGGAUACUACCCUUGUGUUAUGGCUAC
rnacentral:rRNA from 1 species